UUGGAGACGGAUCCUAUUGUU
rnacentral:piRNA from 1 species